rnacentral:rRNA from 1 species
AUGUGGUUUAAUUCGAUGCAACGCGAAGAACCUUACCUACUCUUGACAUCCAGAGAACUUUCCAGAGAUGGAUUGGUGCCUUCGGGAACUCUGAGACAGGUGCUGCAUGGCUGUCGUCAGCUCGUGUUGUGAAAUGUUGGGUUAAGUCCCGCAACGAGCGCAACCCUUAUCCUUGUUUGCCAGCGAGUAAUGUCGGGAACUCCAGGGAGACUGCCGGUGAUAAACCGGAGGAAGGUGGGGACGACGUCAAGUCAUCAUGGCCCUUACGAGUAGGGCUACACACGUGCUACAAUGGCGCAUACAGAGGGCGGCCAACUUGCGAAAGUGAGCGAAUCCCAAAAAGUGCGUCGUAGUCCGGAUUGGAGUCUGCAACUCGACUCCAUGAAGUCGGAAUCGCUAGUAAUCGUGGA